UUGUUGUUGUUAUGAUUUGGACGAUUUUGUAGAUCAGUAUUCCGGUUGCUGACCGUCGUCUGCGAAUGCUAAUGUCACCAUGGGAAUAUACAUCAAAUUACAGGGAACAGUCAGCCGGCAAAUGGGUGUAAAUUUCAGGCAGACCACCAGGCAUUUUGAGAGUUGCUACUUAAGGCCUUCAACAAGAUCAAGGAGAGCAUCUUCACACAGAUCCAUCCGUCUUAUCUGACUUGUAAUGCUUCGGAGAGACUGAGACUGAGAGAGUACAAUGGACUCACCAAACCUUAACUUGUGAAAGAUGGACCUGGAAACCGAGAUAUGAAAGACACUUUGCCUGAGUGGAUGCAUCAGAAUGGACUUCACUCAACCUCUGGGCGCUCUUUGGAUCCUCGGUGACAUCUUCAUUGGAAAAUACUAUUCCAAGUUUGAUUGAGUGCAGGUUUUGCUGAUGCUGUCAAGGGUGUGGAAAAUAAGGCUGAGUAAGAAACCUACUUUGUAAUUUGGAAAGAAUACUAUUUUCGAGUAAGGAUGAACAAAAAUAAAAUCAUGUCUUCAAUAUAUCAGAAUAUUAAUGGAAAAAUGUUUACUUACCCUUUUUCAGUGUAAUGUGAAACAAAACUUUAUUUUUGUAUAGCCCACCUUUUUUUUUUAAACAAAAUGUUGCCCACCCAAAUUCAGUGUAACAUUAUUAUGUUUGUUUGGCCCAAAGUAUCAAAUUAGUGUAAUGUGGAAAGUAGACUACCUGUUUGUUUGGUCCAACUGUGAAAAAGAAAUCAUGUAGGUUUUGCUGAUGCUGUCAAGGGUGUAGAAAUCAAGGCUACUUUGUGAAUUGGAAGGAAUCGAAUUUUGGAUGUUGGGAAAACUGUAUAGUUGGGCCAAACAAAAAUAUAA